rnacentral:rRNA from 1 species
AGCGACCGUACUACCUUGUCAAUGCCUCAUCUCGUCUGAUCUCUGAGGCUAAGCAGUUGGGCCUGGUUAGUACUUGGAAGGGAGACUGCUGGGAACACCAGAUGCCACAGUUGUGU